ACCUCGAUGUCGGCUCAUCGCAUCCUGUGGCUGGAGCAGGUCCCAAGGGUAUGGCUGUUCGCCAGUUAAAGCGGUACGCGAGCUGGGUUCAGACCGUCGUGAGACAGUUCGGUCCCUAUCUGCCGUGGGCGUAAGAAGAUUGAAGAGAUUUGACCCUAGAACGAGAGGACCGGGUUGAACAAACCACUGGUGUAGCUGUUGUUCUGCCAAGAGCAUCGCAGCGUAGCUA
rnacentral:rRNA from 1 species